rnacentral:rRNA from 1 species
UACGUAGGGAGCAAGCGUUGUCCGGAAUUACUGGGCGUAAAGGGCGCGUAGGUGGAUGCUUAAGUCAGAUGUGAAAACUCCGGGCUCAACUUGGAGAUUGCAUUUGAAACUGGGUAUCUUGAGGGUAGGAGAGGAAAGUGGAAUUCCUAGUGUAGCGGUGAAAUGCGUAGAUAUUAGGAGGAACACCAGUGGCGAAGGCGACUUUCUGGACUAUACCUGACACUGAGGCGCGAAAGCGUGGGUAGCGAACGGGAUUAGAUACC